GCCUCUAUAGCUCAGUUGGUAGAGCGCGGCACUAGUAUCAUUGCGAGUGAUGCCGAGGUCUUGAGUUCAACUCUCAAUGGAGGCA
rnacentral:tRNA from 1 species